AACGCACAUUGCGCCCCUUGGUAUUCCGAGGGGCAUGCCUAUUCGAGCGUCAUUAUCACCCCUCAAGCCUAGCUUGGUGUUGAGGCCUGCUGUCAAGGCAGCCUCUAAAAUCAGUGGCAGUGCUGUCAGGCUCUAAGCGUAGUAAAUCUAAUCGCUAUAGGCACCUGGUGGACACUCGCCAGAACCCCCCCAUUUUUUAAUGAUUGACCUCGGAUUAGGUAGGGAUACCCGCUGAACUUAA
rnacentral:misc_RNA from 1 species